rnacentral:rRNA from 1 species
UACGUAGGGGGCAAGCGUUGUCCGGAUUUAUUGGGCGUAAAGAGCGUGUAGGCGGCUAGGUAGGUCCGUUGUGAAAACUCGAGGCUCAACCUCGAGACGCCGGUGGAAACCAUCUAGCUAGAGUCCGGAAGAGGAGAGUGGAAUUCCUGGUGUAGCGGUGAAAUGCGUAGAUAUCAGGAGGAACACCGGUGGCGAAGGCGGAUUUCUGGACCAGUUCUGACACUGAUGCGCGAAAGCCAGGGGAGCAAACGGG